AGAUUGAACGCUGGCGGCAUGCCUAACACAUGCAAGUCGAACGGGAGUAGCAAUACUCUAGUGGCGGACGGGUGAGGAAUACGUAGGAAUUUGCCCUUAAGUGGGGGAUAACCCGGGGAAACCCGGAUUAAUACCGCAUGACCUCGAAAGAGCAAAGUGGGGGAUCGCAAGACCUCACGCUUUUGGAGAAGCCUACGUCGGAUUAGCUAGUUGGUGAGGUAAUGGCUCACCAAGGCGACGAUCCGUAACUGGUCUGAGAGGAUGAUCAGUCACACCGGAACUGAGACACGGUCCGGACUCCGUACGGGAGGCAG
rnacentral:rRNA from 1 species